rnacentral:rRNA from 1 species
GGGAUUAGUGGCGAACGGGUGAGUAACACGUGGGCAAUCUGCCCUGCACUCUGGGACAAGCCCUGGAAACGGGGUCUAAUACCGGAUACAACCACUAGGGGCAUCCCUGGGUGGUGGAAAGCUCCGGCGGUGCAGGAUGAGCCCGCGGCCUAUCAGCUUGUUGGUGAGGUAACGGCUCACCAAGGCGACGACGGGUAGCCGGCCUGAGAGGGCGACCGGCCACACUGGGACUGAGACACGGCCCAGACUCCUACGGGAGGCAGCAGUGGGGAAUAUUGCACAAUGGGCGCAAGCCUGAUGCAGCGACGCCGCGUGAGGGAUGACGGCCUUCGGGUUGUAAACCUCUUUCAGCAGGGAAGAAGCGAAAGUGACGGUACCUGCAGAAGAAGCGCCGGCUAACUACGUGCCAGCAGCCGCGGUAAUACGUAGGGCGCAAGCGUUGUCCGGAAUUAUUGGGCGUAAAGAGCUCGUAGGCGGCUUGUCGCGUCGGUUGUGAAAGCCCGGGGCUUAACCCCGGGUCUGCAGUCGAUACGGGCAGGCUAGAGUUCGGUAGGGGAGAUCGGAAUUCCUGGUGUAGCGGUGAAAUGCGCAGAUAUCAGGA